rnacentral:rRNA from 1 species
GACAGAGGUCCCGAGCGUUAGGCGGAAUCACUGGGCUUAAAGCGUGUGUAGGCGGACUUCUAAGUACCUUGUGAAAUCCCACGGCUCAACCGUGGAACUGCUUGGUAUACUGGUUGUCUUGGGCCAUCUAGGGGCGAGCGGAUCAAACGGUGGAGCGGUGAAAUGCGUAGAUAUCGUUUGGAACGCCAAUGGUGAAAACAGCUCGCUGGGGAUGUGCCGACGCUGAGACACGAAAGCCAGGGGAGCGAACGGG